rnacentral:tRNA from 1 species
CAAAAUGUAGCUUAAUUUAAAGCAUCUUGCUUACACCAAGAAAAUAUCUGUUAAACCCAGGUCGUUUUGA